CAAGGUUCUGACACGUAACAAGCACUUUGUUGUUGCCAGGGCCACCCCCAGACCCAGUAGUUGCCAUGAGGCAUCUUAGGCUACUGGUGUCUGUCAAGACUCAGUCUCCUCGGAACCCUGGGAGGGGAAGGAUACGUCUUAACUCACGUCUUCAAGAAUGUUGUGGGCGGGGCUGGUGAGUCUGGCGGCCGUGGGCGUGGUGGCUCAGGACCAGGUGGCGUCCAGGGCCUGCUUCCACCACCACUCUGACGGAGGGAACAUCUACGACUUCGAGGAAAUGGAUCUCUUAGAGACCAGGAACAUCUCUCUUGCUGACUUCCGCGGCAAGGUGCUGAUGAUCGUCAACGUGGCCACCUACUGAAGCGUAACGCAUCAGUAUUUAAAGAUGAAUGAGCUUCAUGACUCUUACAGCGAUUUUGAAGUCCUGGCUUUCCCUUGUAACCAGUUCGGACAGCAAGAGCCGGGAGGCAGUGGCAGCGAGAUCCUCAACGGUAUCCUACACGUGCGUCCAGGCAACGGCUUCAAGCCUAAUUUCACCAUAUUUAGAAAGAUUGAAGUCAAUGGAAAUAAUCAACAUCCGCUUUAUAAAUACCUUAAGUCCUUCUGUCCUGCCACUCGCCAGAGCUUCAUGCCCGUAGACAAGCUGGACUACUCUCCUCUCAAGCCGGACGACAUCCGAUGGAAUUGGGAGAAGUUCCUAAUCACUAAAAACGGAAAGCCUUACAUGCGCUAUGACGCCCAAACCGACCCAGGAGAAAUUCAGAAUGACAUAGUAUUCCUGUUGCAGCAGGAGUCCUAAAUACACACUACGAGCUGUACAAUUUAAGUUUUGCCUUUAGAUUAAAUAUCGGUGCCGCCUUGCAUUUUAAUAUACAAGUCGAUUAAUUUACAUGCAUAACAAAUUGCUCCAUUUACCCAAGUGUCUUUCCUAACAAAAUGGCGACUGCGUCUCUGACCCCAACCUGAUGUGAUGAAGGCGUCGCCACAAACCUGAGGGUGGGCGACGCUGGAGAGAUGAGGAGCCUAAGCCCAGUCUUCAGCUCAUUCAGCUGGACUUAGGUUACUUCUGUAGGUCAAGCUAGGUUCAAAAUAGUGGUCGCUGGAUAUUACAAGACUCUGAUUUUAAAUAAAAUUGUAAAUAAUCA